CUCAGUUUCCUCAUUACAAAACAAGAGUGGCAAAUUCUUCACAUAACUGUUGUGAGGAUGUGAAAUGCAAAGAGGUUGGAUGAAACUCAGUGGGGAAACUCUGGGUAAUGUAUAAGACCCUUCAUUACUCUACUAUAUGCCAUUUAUCUCCUUUGAUCAAUUAAGAUAUGAGAAAUGAAUCUCAGAAAUGCAAAAUUAUUUGCUAAAGUCAGAAGGAGGGAGACAAAUCUUAGAAAUCAGUUUAUUCAAGCAACCCUUUAAUAAGCCCCUAUUGUCCCUGGAAAACACCUGGAACAGGAUGCGAGAUACCAGCUGUAUGGAAAAGAGAAAAGAGCCAGCACACUUUUGCUGUACUUCGUAUGACUAAUAGUUGCCAUGGAAACUACUAAAUAUUCCAUCUCGAUCUUACAUCUGCACAGCUCACUGAAGCAAAGGAAAUAAAUGUUGCUGCUUUGGAAAAUGAUAAAAAUAAUCUACCCUAUCUUUAUUCUGUGAAGGCAAGGAGAGAGCAUACACCUGGAGGUCAAAGUCAUUUCAUCUCAUUAUCUUCUUCAUGCUUUAUUUAACCUUGGGAGAUCUCUGGAACUAACUAAAUGGUGACAGACCAAACAUUUGCAAGAUUUAGUAUUUGGCACUGAAGUACUGCCUUUUUAAUUUUUAAAGUUUUAGGGAUAUUAUUAGCAUUUAAUGGACCAGUAUGAUAAGUUUGUAUUAAUGAUAAAAGAUUUAUCUACCAUC